AGUGAACGCUGGCGGUAGGCCUAACACAUGCAAGUCGAACGGCAGCACAGUAAGAGCUUGCUCUUACGGGUGGCGAGUGGCGGACGGGUGAGGAAUACAUCGGAAUCUACUUUUUCGUGGGGGAUAACGUAGGGAAACUUACGCUAAUACCGCAUACGACCUACGGGUGAAAGCAGGGGAUCUUCGGACCUUGCGCGAUUGAAUGAGCCGAUGUCGGAUUAGCUAGUUGGCGGGGUAAAGGCCCACCAAGGCGACGAUCCGUAGCUGGUCUGAGAGGAUGAUCAGCCACACUGGAACUGAGACACGGUCCAGACUCCUACGGGAGGCAGCAGUGGGGACUAUUGGACAAUGGGCGCAAGCCUGAUCCAGCCAUACCGCGUGGGUGAAGACGGCCUUCGGGUUGUAAAGCCCUUUUGUUGGGAAAGAAAAGCAGCAGGUUAAUACCCCGCUGUUCUGACGGUACCCAAAGAAUAAGCACCGGCUAACUUCGUG
rnacentral:rRNA from 1 species